AUGCUCGCUUCGGCAGCACAUAUACUACAAUUGGAAUGAUGCAGAGAAGAUUAGCAUGGCUCCUGUGCAAGGAUGACAUGCAAAUUCGUGAAUUCCAUAUUUUU
ensembl:snRNA U6 U6 spliceosomal RNA